CACGUAGGGUGCGAGCGUUGUCCGGAAUUAUUGGGCGUAAAGAGCUCGUAGGCGGCUCGGUAAGUCGGGUGUGAAACCUCCAGGCUCAACCUGGAGACGCCACCUGAUACUGCUGUGGCUAGAGUCCGGUAGGGGAGUGUGGAACUCCUGGUGUAGCGGUGAAAUGCGCAGAUAUCAGGAAGAACACCAGCGGCGAAGGCGGCACUCUGGGCCGGAACUGACGCUGAGGAGCGAAAGCGUGGGUAGCGAACAGG
rnacentral:rRNA from 1 species